GAUCUGGUCCAACGUAUCAAGUAGUCCAGUAAUUAAGGGGUUUCGGUGUUUGUUGACUCUUUUGCUAUAUCUGUCGCUAUAUUUUACUAUUUCCUCUUUGACUGUUGGUAUCUUGAGGUCGCGAUGGAUGGUUUCGUUGGUAACAUACCAAGGUGCGUCUAUUAAGGCUCUUAGCGUUUUCGAUUGGAAUCGUUGUAGUAUUUCGAUGUUGGAGUUACUUGCUGUUCCCUAUAGUUGGAUUCCGUAGGUCCAGACAGGUUUUAUUACGGUCUUGUAGAGGGUAAUUUUAUUCUGUAUGUUUAGUUUGGAGCGUCGGCCCGUGAGCCAAUAGAGUUUUUUUAGUUUGUCCUUUAGUUGCUUCGUUUUAUCUGAGAUGUGUGUCUUCCACGUUAGUCUCCUGUCCAGGGUCAUGCCCAGGUAUCGGACUGUGUCCCUGCUAGGAACUGUUGCAUUGUUGAUGGUGACCUGGGGGCAGGUUUGUUUUCGGAGCGUGAAGGUUACAUGUGAGGAUUUCUUUUCGUUGACUUUGAAUCCCCAUUUGUGAAACCACUUUUCCAUGGAG